rnacentral:misc_RNA from 1 species
GAAAUGCGAUAAGUAAUGUGAAUUGCAGAAUUCAGUGAAUCAUCGAAUCUUUGAACGCACCUUGCGCUCCUUGGUAUUCCGAGGAGCAUGCCUGUUUGAGUGUCAUGGAAUUCUCAACUCUAUUUGCUUUUGUGAAUAGAGCUUGGAUUUGGAGGUUUAUUGCUGGUACUUGUGAUCGGCUCCUCUUGAAUGCAUUAGCUCGAACCUUUGCGGAUCAGCUAUCGGUGUGAUAAUUGUCUACGCCGUUGCAGUGAAGCAUAUCAAUGGGCUCGGCUUCCAAUCGUCCUUUACUGGACAAUGACUUUGACCCUUGACCUCAAAUCAGGUAGGAUUACCCGCUGAACUUCAGC